CCGAUCCCACGUACCUCUUCGUCCAUCGAUCUGUGCCUUUCCUCCCCCGUCUUUCCUUUUUUUCCACCUCCGCAGACCUCACACCGCCCGCACGCCCUGACGUCGCCCGCCCGCCCGCCUGCCGCCGCCGCCUUCACGCCGCCUCACCGCCUGGCGCCACCGCCCACGUUUCCUUCCGCCCCGCGCCGCCGCCGACGUCUCCUCCCGCCCCGCGCCUCCUCCCGCCCCGCGCCUCCUCCCGCCCCGCGCCUCGAGGGCUGCUGCCGCCGCCCUCACGCCGCCUCGCCGCCUCGCGCCGCCUCGCCGCCUCGCGCCGCCUCGCCGCCUCGCGCCGCCGCCGACGUCUCCUCCCGCCCCGCGCCUCGCGGGCUGCCGCCGCCGCCCAGUCCUACCUUCAUCGGCCG
rnacentral:lncRNA from 1 species